AAGCGCACGUUCCGCCGCCCCGCGCCCGCCUUUGUCCCCCGGACAGCGACCGGGCGCGUCCCGCCGCCCUGCCCCGGGCGCUGCCCGCUGAGCAUCUGGAGAGAGGGAGAGAGAGAGAGAAAGGGCGCGUUCAUGAGGACUACAAAGUUACAAAUAUGGCUCCCCAGUCUCUCUUGCCUGAUCACUGCAAAGAAAUGAAGACGCACUUUAAACUAAACCAUUCGCAACUCACUCGCAGUCCCUGUCUGCCUCUCCCUGCCCAGCACCCUGCACAAAUAUUUGCGAACUAAACACGCCGAGAGAGAGAGGAGCGAGCAACUUAUUUUUUAUUUAACGCACGGCGAGCCCCCCUCCCGAGGCAUCGCAGCCCGGCACGGGCAGGAGCGGCCGCGGGUCCCCCCAAAGCACCCCGGGCACCCCCAAACCGGGCUGCACGGCCCCCUACACACACACAGGCAGCUGCAGGGAUGAGGUGCCAGCUGUGUCCUGGCAGGGCUCUCUGUGUCAGGUGCCAACCUCCACACCUGCUCCUCUCCAUGGACUUGUUUCGUCAAACCCAGGGCGCCACUUCCAUCAGGGGAAGCAGCACACAGUGCAGGACAGAGAUGAAGCUUCACCUGUGUCUGUGGAUAAACUGCCAUGAAUGUAGGUGACAACUAAGCAGGAAUUCUGUUGGGAGAGUGAAAGGAAAAGGUCCAGCUGAAUCCAGCUUCAGGUGUGACCAAAGGUGGCCCCUGGGCUGAGGCUGCAGGAAGGUUUGGGCUGGAAUUUGUUUUCGUGGAGCGGGUGAAGACUUUUGGAAAAGAACUUUUAUCAUGGCAACAAACUGUUUAUAAGUAUAUACUCCAACAAGGAGUUUCUGGGAGUACAGACAGGCUUUUCCCUUUGUUUUCUCAGAAGAAAACAACGCUCUAAUUAUUUAAAGUUGUAUGAAAUGCCCCCCUACGAACUGCUGGGGGGAAUUUAUUCCAAGUUCAAAGUCAAAAUUAAGUCUUUAAAACUUGUUGGUUGUCCCUCUGCCCUUUUCACGUGCACGUUGCUGGGGAGUCUGGGAACUAAAAAUAAAUGGAAAUGUUUGGCAGGAUAAAUAUCUUGAGCAUCCUAUCAAACUGGAAAUAAAUUUUAAAUAACAUU